rnacentral:lncRNA from 1 species
UCUUUUUUGAUAUAAAUUCCCUAACAUUUUUUCUAAGGGGUGCGGACGAAAAAUUCCAAUGGGUGCGGUCGGAUUUUUCAAGGGGUGCGGACGAAAAUUUCCGAGGGGUGCGAUCAGAAUUUUUCACGAAAAAUACCACUAAAUUUUUUUUUUCUAUGGGUGCGGCCGCCCACCCACCACAUAAGAUAAGAUGGGUCCGCCCCUGCUCCAGAUAGCUUGUUGGAGAAACGAGUGUACAAUCACAAUUACAUAAAAAAAAGAAUCUGUGAAAUAUAAAAAACACGAAUGAAUGAUGUAAAAAAGAAAAACGAACCAGAUGUUCCAAUUCAGGUGGAAACUUGUGCGAUUUAAGGAGCUUAGCAUGCUUGUUAGAGAAACGAGUGUCUUGAUCAGCCGUAGUGCCCUAACAGAAUAUCAAAUUCAUCAGUUUGAUCAGCGUUAACCUAGAAAAGCUGUUGAUGAUGCAAUUCGGAUGAAUGUAAAGCGUACGAUAGUGAAAGGUUUUGAAAGCUGUUGGGGAUUAUUUGUAAAGGGUGAUGAUGGUACAAGUACAACCCGCUGGUGAAAGACGAAAACGUUCCUGGUAACGUGAUAUAAACUACAUAGAAUUUUGGAAGUAUUCAUUUCAACCAUUCAAUACAAGAAAAAAAAGAGCAUAGAACAUUAGACCUUAAAGACAUAUUUGUAAAUGUAAAUAUAUGGUUUCACAUUUGGUUGGUUGCUGGUAGGGAUAAGCAUCGUACCCGUUCGGUAUCGAAAGUAUGGAUACUGAAAAACGGGAAAAGUUGGUAUUGGUACCGGUACCGAAUACAACGGUUCAGUACCGGCUCCAGUUCCCAGUUACGAGCAGGUAUGUAACAUAAUUCUGUUAAUUUGUUUGUAUUCUCGUUUCAACCUCUGCACAUAAUUCUGUUAAUUUGCUUGUAUUCUCAUUUCAUGAAUUUCAAUCUAUCUAUCUACUUUCUUU